rnacentral:sRNA from 1 species
GGUUAGGUCGCGAGUGCCAGUAGGUGUUUACAACUAACUGAUCACAACCAGUUACAGAUCUUUUUGUUUCCUCUCUACUCCCACUGUCUGACUUGGCUAGCCCUUA